GGAUGCGAUCAUACCAGCACUAAAGCACCGGAUCCCAUCAGAACUCUGAAGUUAAGCGUGCUUGGGCGAGUGUAGUACUAGGAUGGGUGACCUCCUUGGAAGUCCUCGUGUUGCAUUCC
rnacentral:rRNA from 2 species